GUGAGGAAUAUUGCGCAAUGGAGGCAACUCUGACGCAGCCAUGCCGCGUGCAGGAAGAAGGCGCUACGCGUUGUAAACUGCUUUUAACCGGGAAGAAACCCCAGGACGUGUCCUGGGUUGACGGUACCGGAGGAAGAAGCACCGGCUAACUUCGUGCCAGCAGCCGCGGUAAUACGAAGGGUGCAAGCGUUAUCCGGAUUCAUUGGGUUUAAAGGGUGCGUAGGCGGAGCGUUAAGUCAGUGGUGAAAUCCUGCAGCUUAACUGUAGACUUGCCAUUGAUACUGGCGCUCUUGAGUGCGCUUGAAGUGGGCGGAAUGUGCCGUGUAGCGGUGAAAUGCUUAGAUAUGGCACAGAACACCAAUUGCGAAGGCAGCUCACUAAGGCGAUACUGACGCUGAGGCACGAAAGCGUGGGGAUCGAACAGGAUUAGAAACCCGUGUAGUCC
rnacentral:rRNA from 1 species